UUAGGAAUCUUGGACAAUGGACGAAAGUCUGAUCCAGCCAUGCCGCGUGAGCGAUGAAGGCCUUCGGGUUGUAAAGCUCUUUAGCCGAUGAAUAUAAUGACUGUAGUCGGAAAAUAAGCCCCGGCUAACUUCGUGCCAGCAGCCGCGGUAAUACGAAGGGGGCGAGCGUUGUUCGGAAUCACUGGGCGUAAAGCGUGCGUAGGCGGUUAUAAAAGUUAGAAGUGAAAGCCCAGGGCUUAACCUUGGAAUUGCUUUUAAUACUGUAUAACUCGAAUAUCGGAGAGGAGAGCGGAAUUGUCAGUGUAGCAGUGAAAUGCGUAGAUAUUGACAGGAACACCAGUGGCGUAAGCGGCUCUCUGGACGAUUAUUGACGCUGAGGCACGAAAGCGUGGGGAUCAAACAGG
rnacentral:rRNA from 1 species